rnacentral:rRNA from 1 species
UGAGGAAUAUUGCGCAAUGGGGGAAACCCUGACGCAGCAACGCCGCGUGGGUGAAGAAGGCCUUCGGGUCGUAAAGCCCUUUCGGACGGGACGAACGCUCCGCGGGGACAAGCCGCGGAGUCUGACGGUACCGUAGGAAGAAGCACCGGCUAACUCCGUGCCAGCAGCCGCGGUAAUACGGAGGGUGCGAGCGUUGUUCGGAAUUACUGGGCGUAAAGCGCGUGUAGGCGGCUUUGCAAGCCAGACGUGAAAGCCCUCGGCUUAACCGGGGAAGUGCGUCUGGAACUGCUUGGCUUGAGUACGGGAGAGGGAGGCGGAAUUCCCAGUGUAGAGGUGAAAUUCGUAGAUAUUGGGAGGAACACCGGUGGCGAAAGCGGCCUCCUGGACCGAUACUGACGCUGAGACGCGAAAGCGUGGGGAGCAAACAGGAUUAGAUACCCUGGUAGUCCACGCGGUAAACGAUGGGCACGUAGGUGGUGGGGGGUAGUCCGACUCCUCCCGUGCCGAAGCUAACGCAUUAAGU